rnacentral:misc_RNA from 1 species
AGAUCUUCAUUUUGUCAAGGGAAAGUUUAUGAUGCAUCAACACACUAUCAGUGUGGGUUAUAUGGUAUUAAACUGUGUCCAACAAAAAAAAAGGAAAAAUUUAAGACAUGCUUGUUGGUCACACUUUUUAUGUGUGUUGGAAACACAUCUGACACUUCAAAGAUCUUUUUUUGUUCUAAAAAUUUUUUACAUAGUAAUAAAAUCAACAAAUAUUGU